GCAAAUAGAUGAGUUUGAUUUAAAUCAAAAAUCUCUAUCGGAAUGGAGAUUUUCUAAUCGGUAAGGGUUUCGAUGCCUACACGACGAUGGGAUCCUGGAAUCGGAGACGAGAUACGGAUUGGAGCAGAAGGAAAAGGGAACUUUGGGAUCUUUUGGCCGGUUUGGGUAAUAAAAUGGAGUACGAUUUCGAUUAUCAUCAAAACAAAAUCCCGGGAAUUCACAGGGAUGGUGGAGAUGAUUACCACAGUUGAUUCACAGGUUCGAUUAGAAUUUGUUAUCAGGAGACUGUGUAAUUCAGAAUUGCAUAAGGCUUGGGAACGAUGGAAUGGGCUGGGAGUUUUAAUCCUUAUGCAGAGCAGUUUUAUUUAUAUUUAUUCUCAUCUCAGGUCGCAAUACUCACCAAGGAAGGAAUGAGGUUGCGAUAUUGUAGUUAUGGCCAGUACAAGGAGGUCACAAUGGAAAUAUAUGGGGGUCUAUAUAGGACUUAUUGAUUGUGUGGUUGACGCAAAAUAUGGCUGGAGUUUAAAGGGUUGCAUUUACGUUGGCAUUUUCUCAGGUUUCAGGAUUCUUAUAGGAACAAAAGAAUGGAGCUUUUUGGUUUUCUGGAUGCAGGGAAUAACAAUAUUUGCUAGAUAUAAAUUACGGUUGAUAGAAUUCUUUAUGCAAUAUGUAUGGUGGUAUGUGAUUUUGUGGGGGUUUGGGGACUCUCGAAUCAAGUUUGUAACAUGUGUUUUGCAACUAUAUAAUUGUUUUUUUCA